GAGUUUGAUCCUGGCUCAGGACGAACGCUGGCGGCACGCUUAACACAUGCAAGUCGAACGGACUUGAGAGAGCUUGCUCUCUCAAGUUAGUGGCGGACGGGUGAGUAACACGUGAGCAACCUGCCUUUAAGAGUGGGAUAACGGUCGGAAACGACCGCUAAUACCGCAUAAUAUACAUGAAUCGCAUGGUUUGUGUAUCAAAGAUUUAUCGCUUAAAGAUGGGCUCGCGUCUGAUUAGCUGGUUGGUGAGGUAACGGCUCACCAAGGCGACGAUCAGUAGCCGUACUGAGAGGUAGAACGGCCACAUUGGGACUGAGACACGGCCCAGACUCCUACGGGAGGCAGCAGUGGGGAAUAUUGCACAAUGGAGGAAACUCUGAUGCAGCGAUGCCGCGUGAGGGAAGAAGGUUUUCGGAUUGUAAACCUCUGUCUUAAGGGACGAUAAUGACGGUACCUUAGGAGGAAGCUCCGGCUAACUACGUGCCAGCAGCCGCGGUAAUACGUAGGGAGCGAGCGUUGUCCGGAAUUACUGGGUGUAAAGGGAGUGUAGGCGGGAUGGUAAGUUAGGUGUGAAAUGCGGAGGCUCAACCUCCGAGCUGCACUUAAAACUGCUGUUCUUG
rnacentral:rRNA from 1 species